rnacentral:rRNA from 1 species
CACGUAGGGCGCAAGCGUUGUCCGGAAUUAUUGGGCGUAAAGAGCUCGUAGGCGGUCUGUUGCGUCUGCUGUGAAAACUCGGGGCUUAACCCCGAGCCUGCAGUGGAUACGGGCAGACUAGAGGUAGGUAGGGGAGAAUGGAAUUCCCGGUGUAGCGGUGAAAUGCGCAGAUAUCGGGAGGAACACCGGUGGCGAAGGCGGCGCUCUGGGCCGGUACUGACGCUGAGGAGCGAAAGCGUGGGUAGCAAACAGG